rnacentral:rRNA from 1 species
AACGAACGCUGGCGGCAUGCCUAACACAUGCAAGUCGAACGAGACCUUCGGGUCUAGUGGCGCACGGGUGCGUAACGCGUGGGAACCUGCCCUUAGGUUCGGAAUAACUCCCCGAAAGGGGUGCUAAUACCGGAUAAUGUCUUCGGACCAAAGAUUUAUCGCCUUUGGAGGGGCCCGCGUUGGAUUAGCUCGUUGGUAGGGUAAAAGCCUACCAAGGCGACGAUCCAUAGCUGGUCUGAGAGGAUGCUCAGCCACACUGGGACUGAGACACGGCCCAGACUCCUACGGGAGGCAGGAGUGGGGAAUAUUGGACAAUGGGCGAAAGCCUGAUCCAGCAAUGCCGCGUGAGUGAUGAAGGCCUGAGGGUUGUAAAGCUCUUUUACCCGGGAUGAUAAUGACAGUACCGGGAGAAUAAGCUCCGGCUAACUCCGUG